rnacentral:rRNA from 1 species
UACGUAGGGGGCUAGCGUUGUCCGGAUUUAUUGGGCGUAAAGAGCGUGUAGGCGGCCAGGUAGGUCUGGUGUGAAAACUCGAGGCUUAACCUCGAGAUGUCAUCGGAAACCAUCUGGCUAGAGUCCGGAAGAGGAGAGUGGAAUUCCUGGUGUAGCGGUGAAAUGCGCAGACAUCAGGAAGAACACCAAUGGCGAAAGCAGCUCUCUGGGACGGUACUGACGCUGAGACGCGAAAGCGUGGGGAGCGAACAGG